GACGUAGGAGGCGAGCGUUGUCCGGAUUCAUUUGGGCGUAAAAGAGCGCGCAGGCGGCUUGGUAAGUCGGAUGUGAAAUCCCGAGGCUCAACCUCGGGUCUGCAUCCGAUACUGCCCGGCUAGAGGUAGGUAGGGGAGAUCGGAAUUCCUGGUGUAGCGGUGAAAUGCGCAGAUAUCAGGAGGAACACCGGUGGCGAAGGCGCCGCUCUGGGCCGAAACUGACGCUGAGGAGCGAAAGCAUGGGUAGCAAACAGG
rnacentral:rRNA from 1 species